GCCUCUCUAGCUCAAUGGUAGAGCAGUGGACUUUUAAUCCAUUGGUUCAGGGUUCGAGCCCCUGGGGAGGCACCA
rnacentral:tRNA from 1 species